GCCCCAGUAGCUCAUCUGGUAGAGCGCAUGCCCCACACGCAGCGGUCCAGGCUCAAAUCCAGCCUGGGUCC